UUGGCAUUCUAUUUUUUCCGUUUCUAUACAGCGAAGUGGCGGAUUUACCCUUGCUGGCCACGCGUCUCUCAUCGCUUCACCUUCUGUUUCUUGACUCUUCUACUUCAUUCCACUCUCUCAUUCAAAAAAUCAGAUCGCUCAUCGCUUUUUCUCCAAACCUCUACUUCGACUACACUUCUAAAUUUUUCCUUUUGUGUUCACUUAUCUCUCUCUCUCAAAUCUCUGCUUCCGUCGCACUCGAACUCCUCCCGUCGCUUUCAAACGCCGGCUAAGCAGGUUACUCGGAGAAGUCUGUGAAGGGUCAAUAGGACAAGAUGGAUUGCGUUUCAAAGUGCAAAAAAUACAGGGCCUGCCUCUCUAUGCGUUUCCAAUCUUCCAUAAAUCAUGUUCGUGGAGGCGAUUUGAGAAGGAUUUGAAGCUCGGCUACAGAGAUUUGAUUCAAAUUGGUGGAUUUGGUUAGAGCUGACUAUAUGAGCACCCAAAUUGUUACUCGCAACUUGUUGUUAUAUUAAUGUGCUUGAUUUCAGCCUUCUCUUUUGAAUUCCUGAAAGAGUGGUUUGAAGUUGGAGAGACCAAGAACUGGGCACCCUCUACAGACUGCAGUACUACUAUUGCUAAGUAGUUUUAUGGGUGAUACAAUUACGAAGGUACUGUAUGAAGUUACAGAAUUUCAUGCGAACUUUCAAGAGAGUGAAGAAUGUACUGUUCACAAAGGCAAAACAGGGAACUACUACUUCAUAUGGGAAGAAGAGGUUGAAGUCACUGGUUUUAUUAAUGCUGGUGACCGAAAUCAAUCCAAGUUAAUGUUAAUACGAUAUCACAAUUUUUGUUAUGGUGAGGACUAAGAACUUAUAACCUUUUCUUUAUCUCUCAUUUUUUAAAUUAAGAAAUUUACUUUUUUAUACCUCUUUUGUGAUCAUUUACUGAGAGUUUGUUAAUUGUUUUAAUAUGUAUGAGGUAGGAUUUCUACGUUCAUUUCUCAUCUUUAGAGAUUGCUGGAUUUCAUGUUGUCGAAUAGUUUAUGGAUUUUUCAUAUUAAAUAUGUCAAUAUGUUAUUGCAGUAAUUCAAUUGAUGUGAUAUAAGUUGAUGUAUUUAUACCUUUAAACAUAAAAAAAAUUCACAUAAUUUUUAAUCCCACAGCAACACGUGGGCAAAACUUUAUAGUGUAAAACGAUAAUUGCGUUAUAUAUGUAGUUGUAGACAUAAUCUAAUGGUUGUCUUCCAUUAACUUUUAUUCCUUAAUCCUCAUCAAUUCAUUUGAUCCGACGGUCAAAAAUUGAAAGGGUUUGUAAAAGAUAAAAAGAGGUGUGUGGUUAACACCACCCCAUUUCUAUUUCAAAGUUGUCUUUUUUUUUUUUUUUGAACAAAUAAUAUUAUCUGCACUAAAGGGGAGAAUUGAGCUUAGCCUUAUAAUGAGCUAGCAAUAAUGUGAUUCAAAAUCGCAUUUGGCAAGAACAGAACCUAAGAUCUCUGACUUAUAAGUGAAUAAAAAUAUUAUUAGACCGUAGUACUAAGUGGUUUCGAAGUCAUAUUUUAGCAUAACUAUCGGCAAUUGCUGGUUGAAGGACCAAUAUGAUUAGAAGUUAGAACAUAAGUAAGUACCACCAAAGCAUCCAUUUUCUGAGGACAUCAACGAUUUCUUUACAAGAUCCGUUUGUCUCCCAUACAAUCACAUAUAAGUUGAGAAACCAGGAAGAUAAUACAGACUCAUUAUACAGGAGGAAACUUUAACACAUAAAUCAUAAAUGACUAAUUAAACUCAUAGGACCCCAAUAGAAAUCCUCCACACACAACUGCAACCCUGAUUUCCCAUUGUAAAACGGAAAAUUACGGACGGUGAAUGAAAUAGUAUGUUUGUGAGAGGAAGGGGAAACCGCAACAAUAAACUAUGUCAAUGACCGUGCCUUAUUAAAUUAGGCACGACCCAAGCUCAUUUAGAUAAGGCACUGCACGGCAUGAUUAGCAAUGAGUGGCCAGGUCAGUCCUAAGGUUUAGGUCCAAUAGGCUGGCCCAACAGCGAUUCAUCGUGGCCAAGCACGACCCAUGACGUGGGGCCAUUAUGAUGACUAUCCCAUUAAACUAAUACAGAAUUAAAUAUUAAUAUAUUUAUUCAUUAUUUUUCAAGUAAAACAUACGGUUUGGAGCUAAUAAGACUAAAUAAUUGUGAUAUUAGGUUUUAAACUAGAUUCAAAUAAUUUUUUCUGAUAAUAUAAGAUAACUAAAGUUUGUUGAGGGGCUUGUUUAGUCGCACAGCCCAAGAACGGCUUAGGCCCAUAUGACACCUUUAGGUAUUAGAGCGUUUGACACCUUUAGUUUUUAGGGGUGGGCAUGAGAACCUAGAAUCGAGAAACCGAAUUGAACCAUGACCAAAAAAAAAAAAAAAAAAACUUUUGACAAGAAUUGAAUUGAGCCGAUUCAGACUGGUUUCGAGUCAGGUUCUCAACUUGAAAAAACUAGCACAACCAAACUGAACCAACUAAUAGUAAUUUAAUUUUUAUUUUUUUUUAAUAAAUAAUAUUAUCUACAUUAAGAGGAUGGAUGAAAAUUUAUUUUUUAUGUUUUUAAAUAUAUUCAAUAAACAUAAUCCAUUUAACAGGCCCUUAAAGGGAUCCCCAAUUUUUUUUUUUUAAAUGGGGGCACCCUCUUAACCAUUAGAUUUGGCUUUAAUGAAAUUAUGUGGUUGAGAUUAAAUCAUAGGCUACAUAAUUUCAAUCACAGAAUUUCAUUAAAGCUAAAUUUAAUGACUAAGAGAGUGUCUCCAAUUUUUUUGAAAAAUAAGAAUCCCUCCCUUAAAGGCUUCCACCCAUCUAAUACUAAUCUCUCGCAAGGCCUACCAAAUUUAACUAAAUCGAAGGUGCAAAGGCUCAUAACCUAACUAAACCCUAGUGACUAUAUGUCUCUUCCUCUUCCUUUUCUUUAUGCAGUCUAGCCACCAAACCAGUCUCACGUUUUGUCUCUCCCCGUUUAGAGCCAGUCUCUCUUUUCUUCUCUACCAUUUCUUCUCUCUCUUUCCUUCUUCGCCCUCUCGUUUAUUCUCUACUAGUCUCACAAAUCUUGCAGGUUUAUGUUUUUACCUUGUACGCUUCCAGCAGUUUGGCUCAAAUUUGUAAGAAUUUAUCGGUGGAAACAUACUGUUGGACGUUGAAGCAGGACUCGAAGGAAAAAUAUAUCUCUACAAUAGAAUGCCAGAAGAGUACUUUGGUGUCUCAAGCCCCUUAAACAAAAAAAAUAAAAAAAUAAACAAAAAAAUUAAAAAAACGUACAGUUAGAACAAUAAACUCAAGCGUAAGAGUGGAAAGGUUCUUAAAAAAGAAGAAUAAAAAAAGUAUAACGUGGGAGAAAGGAUCGAUCACCACGUUCAGUUUUGCAACUACAUUCAGCAGUUACCCUUUCGGGUUUGCAGACUACCACACUCGUACGUGGGAUAAUGUUCGUUUUUGUAGACUCCGACACUCCAACACUCCAAAGUGGGAUAAAAGGGGUGCUCAAAUGAAAUUAAUCUGGGUAUAAGCUUCCGUUUUGCUUUGAGGAUGCCAAGUUUGGUAGCAAGAAAGCGCCGGAGUCGCAGCAAAACGGGCAGUCCACUGAUGGUGCGGUGAGUAAUCGGAGUAGUUCACAUGAAGAGAACAUGCAAAAAACUCGGCAACUCCUUCAAAUGGAGUCUUAUCUGCAUGACGUGUUAAAUUUCAUUGAGGAUGUCUUCUGGAAAUUCCAGUGCGAGGGUUCUAUGUGAUGUUCCCGUGGAUGAGGAAGCGAUGCAAAGGCAUCUUUAAAUUCAUAUGCCUUCUGGAAAUUCCAGUGUGAGG